AAUAUUGGAUAAUGGGGGCAACCCUGAUCCAGCCAUGCCGCGUGUGUGAGGAAGGUCUGCGUAUUGUAAGGCACUUUCAGUUGGGAGGAAGGGCUGUAGGUUAAUACCCUGAAGUUUUGACGUUACCAACAGAAUAAGCACCGGCUAACUCUGUGCCAACAGCCGCGGUAAUACAGAGGGUGCAAGCGUAAAUCGGAAUUACUGGGCGUAAAGCGCGCGUAGGUGGUUCAGUAAGAUGGGUGUGAAAUCCCCGGGCUUAACCUGGGAACUGCUUUCAUAACUUCUGAGCUAGAGUACGGUAGAGGGUAGUGGAAUUUCCUGUGUAGCGGUGAAAUGCGUAGAUAUAGGAAGGAACACCAGUGGCGAAGGCGACUACCUGGACUGAUACUGACACUGAGGUGCGAAAGCGUGGGGAGCAAAC
rnacentral:rRNA from 1 species